rnacentral:lncRNA from 1 species
GUGUUUUAGUGGAUCCAGGUAGCUCAGCAAACAUAAUCAGAUCGAGGGUCGUGGAACAACUCGGCCUACAAGAUCAGAUUGUACCUGCAUCCCGAGUCCUGAAUGGCUUCAACAUGGCAAGCGAAAAUGGAAGAAGAAAUAUUAGAAGGACCAUGGCUAAGGAGUUGAUCAAUACUUUGAAAGAAAAGCUAGCAUAAAUAUCAAUCGAGUUGGACAUGCCAAAACCACGAGUAUAAUUACUACAACUUAAUUCGUAAUUUGAGUUGGAAUUCUUUAUCUGUUAUUUAAUAAUGAUUCUUGAAAGGUUGUUGAAUGAGUAAGAUGCACUUGAUAUCGCAUUUCAAUUGAACUUGAAGAGAGAGUUUGAUUUCUGCAAAUUCUUGGGAUAAAGCAAACUAACAUUUUAAGGGGGUGUUGAUGAUUUGCUUCAGUUACUGUAGUAUUCUUUUAGCAUAAUAACUUAGCUUUGUUUUAGGAUAAAUCUAUUUUUUGAAUUUAAAUUUUUGUUAGAGUUUUUAGGUUUGUUGAGAUAUUUUAGGUGUUUUAAAUUUUUCUUAUACAGAUUUUUCUACCGAUUAUGUCGUUAAGUUGGCUAUUUAAAUCCAUCCAUGUUUAAUAAAAAGUAGAGAUAUUUUCAAUUAAUAUUUUUAAUAUUAUUGCUGCCCAUCGUUUAAAACCCCAACGGGGGCCUAGACAUACACCAAAAUGUGUUAGUAAUGUGUUGAAGUUCUAUACACACUGAUGGUGUGAAAUACGCAAAUCAUAUCAUUUAUAAGGUAAUUACGAGUAAAGUAUUACAAUGAGCAUUCAUUAAUAACCUAGUAAAAUUGAUGAAUGGCUUGCUUUACUAGGUUAAAUUACACUAUAAAUCAUGUGAGUGUGUAUAACUUAAAUCAUGUUGCAAUAAAUCCUAUUGUGAUAUGUUCUCCUCGACAGCAAAAAUAGCUUAAUCUUUUACAUACUAUUCAGUAUCAAACGCGUGAUCCAUCACAGUAAAAAUGUAGUUGUCUCUAUCAAGACUGCAAUUUUCACUAAACAAAGAAAUUAANNNNNNNNNNNNNNNNNNNNNNNNNNNNNNNNNNNNNNNNNNNNNNNNNNNNNNNNNNNNNNNNNAUAAAUACGGUAAAUACCCUGCUAAAACAUAUAAACUUGCAACUAAUCAAUAUUCCAAAUAUGAAAUUUAGUUGUAUCUGUUGUGUAAAAUAAAUUAAAUCCGAUAAAUUGAACCUAUCAUAGAGUAAAAAAUUUACACAGCCAGUAUACAUAUAAAUUAAUACAUGAAUAUAUGCUUGAAACUAAUCAAUAUUCCAAAUAUGUGAAUUUCAAAGUAAAGAAACAGUACCUUCAAACCACACAAAUGUCCCUUGUGGACGGAUCACUCUCCCAGUCAGUUGUAUGCCAUGACUUGCUGCUUCAUUAGAGGAGAGUCAUAUGUUUGAUGAUGCAGCAUCAUCAAGAUUCCCAUAUGAAAUUUAGGAGAAUCUUGGAUUUUAGAACAACGACCUCAAAUGUAAUAAAUGAUUUCAAAAUUUAAUAUAUGUACAUAUUUAAUAAAUUUCUUAAGAUAAAUACACUAUUUGAGCAAAUAUACUGGGUUCGACCUAACCCGUAUGUAGAUCCUUUCUCCUUUCAAGUUUGUGAAUCUUGAUGAUGAUGCAUCCUCAAACACUGACUGGUGACCUUGUAAAUUACUUAUGGUUCAUUCUCCAUAUACAAGAGCAAGAAAAACCCUAUUCUUAAGAGUUAACAUUGGUCAAACAAUAUAACCAUUCAAUCUUUUUGGAAAGAUAUAUAGGAGUGUUAGAAACUAACAGUGUUAGAAAAAGGUAAAAGAAAGAAUUACUUGGAACUCUAAGAAAGAAUUGAUUGUCUCUCGUUUUACUUUACUGAUAAAGUAUUUCUUGUUAGCUAACUGAUAAGAUCGGAGAAUGAUAUUUUUAAAGGUUAUCUUGACGAAUUGGGCAUGGAAAAGGUAACUGAAAUGGUUGAAAGGAAAUUAAGAUAAUUAAAUAGGAGAUAAUGAGAGAUGGAAUGUAUUGGCAAUUGGGUUAAUGGGGUAGACCUCAUGACAUUAAACAAAUCAAUAGGAAGAGGUUUAUAUAGA